CAAAAUUUAGGUUUGGUGACUCUGGAGGAGUUGUAUAUUAAUUAGGUUUGGGUUUGAGCAUUGAACACAGACAAACUGGGGAUGGCAAGGACCACUCUUUCUUCUCUGUCUUUAUCUCUUUGUAUUCUCCUCAUAAUCACCUUCACUUUCUUCAUAUAACCAACUCCAGUAAGAGCAGGUUUGUCUCUGUCAUUCAAUCAUCGCAUUAAUUUAGUGUAAUGAUUAAGUUUGGUUGUAGAUAUGCAUAUUGAGAUUAUGAGAAGUUGUUUAAAUUUGUAGAUUUGAAGAUGAGAAAGUUGGGUGUACACCCAAGACCACCUCCUCCACCCAAGCGGGCAUUCCAAUUCAAACCACCAAUACAUAAACCUCGGCCGCCGCCUCCAUUUCACAAACCAUAAGAUCUUCAAUUAUUAUGUUUCCCUUCAGCUACUUUCUUUCUCAUCAUUUUCACUGCUUUUAUUUUAUACCAUUGAGUUUAAUGUAUAAUAUAAAUAACAUUAGUAAGUCAAAGUUUCACUCCAAACAUGAAUGUAUGUGCAGGUUGGACUCAAAAGAGGAAAGACACUAUAUAUUUUGUUUUUUAGUUGUUAUUUUGUUUAUAUAUAGGUUUACAGCAUUAGGUUUUGUUUGUACUAGGCAUAUUGAAUGCAAAAACGUGGUAAUGUACCUUUUGUUGGUUUUCGAUUGUUUUGUUGUUAAUGUACAUUGUUGUCAUAGCUUUUUUAUUGAUGGGUUUGUGUAGUUGCACCCCUUUAGUAUAUAAUUAUCUUCUUUAUGGGGAUAAUCUGCAUAUGGUUUUUGUAUCUCUUGGACCACAAAUCCUUGGUGCGUAAAUGUAAGAUGGA
rnacentral:lncRNA from 1 species